rnacentral:rRNA from 1 species
CUGGAAGCGGUCGCUAAUACCGCAUCGCGUCGCAAGACCAAAGAGGGGGACCUUCGGGCCUCUUGCCAUCAGAUGUGCCCAGAUGGGAUUAGCUAGUAGGUGGGGUAACGGCUCACCUAGGCGACGAUCCCUAUCUGGUCUGAGAGGAUGACCACCCACACUGGAACUGAGACACGGUCCAGACUCCUACGGGAGGCAGCAGUGGGGAAUAUUGCACAGUGGGCGCAAGCCUGAUGCACCCAUGCCGCGUGUAUGAAGAAGGCCUUCGGGUUGUAAAGUACUUUCAGCGAGGAGGAAGGCAUUGUGGUUAAUAACCACAGUGAUUGACGUUACUCGCAGAAGAAGCACCGGCUAACUCCGUGCCAGCAGCCGCGGUAAUACGGAGGGUGCAAGCGUUAAUCGGAAUUACUGGGCGUAAAGCGCACGCAGGCGGUCUGUCAAGUCAGAUGUGAAAUCCCCGGGCUCAACCUGGGAACUGCAUUCGAAACUGGCAGGCUAGAGUCUUGUAGAGGGGGGUAGAAUUCCAGGUGUAGCGGUGAAAUGCGUAGAGAUCUGGAAGAAUACCGGUGGCGAACGCGGCCCCCUGGACAAAGACUGACGCUCAUGUGCGAAAGCGUGGGGAGCAAACAGGAUUAUAUACCCUGGUAGUCCACGCCGUAAACUAUGUCGACUUGGAGGUUGUUCCCUUGAGGAGUGGCUUCCAGAGCUAACGCGUUAAGUCGACCGCCUGGGGAGUACGGCCGCAGGGUUAAAACUCAAAUGAAUUGACGGGGGCCCGCACAAGCGGUGGAGCAUGUGGUUUUAUUCGAUGCAACGCGAAGAACCUUAC